CUGGGAACAGGCACAUCAUACUGUGUUCAGAGCUUACUCUUGGCUCUGUGCUCUAGAAUCAUUCAAAGCAGUGGUCAUGGGAACAUUUGUGGUGCCAGAGAAGGAACCCAGAUAUUUUCUGAGUGUCUCCAGUGGCAACUUCUGCUUGGAUGGAGAGUACGUAGGCACAAUCUGAGACUUUGCAGUGCACAGGGAGAGGAGGCUGCUUUUUUGAAAGAGCCUGAAUAAAGCAGGAGAAGUCCCAGUCAAGGCUCGAUCCAAUGUUGACAAGCAGAAAGAAAAGCAAAGAGAACCAAUAACCAAGCAGUCUAUGCAUUAAGUCCUUUAUCCAUGACAUCAUGUGUUU